AGCUCUGUAAGCGUAUACCAAAGUUGUUGCAGUUAAAACGCUCGUAGUCGGAACUUGGCGGGCGAUUUGCUUCGUCCUCACGGAGAGUCGGGUAAUGAUUAAGAGGGAUGGUUGGGGGCAUUUGUAUUCCAGCGUCAGAGGUGAAAUUCUUGGAUUGUUGGAAGACAAACAGCUGCGAAAGCGUCUGCCAAGGACAUUUUCA
rnacentral:rRNA from 1 species